rnacentral:rRNA from 1 species
GAUGAACGCUGGCGGCGUGCAUAACACAUUCAAGUCGAACGGAGUUAUUGGAAGGAAGUCUUCGGAUGGAAUGAAGAUAACUUAGUGGCGGACGGGUGAGUAACGCGUGAGCAACCUGCCUUGGCAUGGGGGAUAACGUUUGGAAACGAACGCUAAUACCGCAUAUCGCAUAGGGACCGCAUGAUUCUUAUGCAAAAGAUUUAUUGUGCUAAGAUGGGCUCGCGUCCCAUUAGAUAGUUGGUGAGGUAACGGCCCACCAAGUCGACGAUGGGUAGCCGAACUGAGAGGUUGAACGGCCACAUUGGAACUGAGAUACGGUCCAGACUCCUACGGGAGGCAGCAGUGGGGAAUAUUGGGCAAUGGGCGAAAGCCUGACCCAGCGACGCCGCGUGAGGGAAGAAGGUCUUCGGAUUGUAAACCUUUGUUGAUAGGGACGAACAGAUGACGGUACCUAUCGAGGAAGCCACGGCUAACUACGUG